UAAUAACUUAUUAAUGGAGUUGGAAAAUACGAACAAUAGUUUAAACACCAAAGAAUUUGGCGGUAUCUUAUUUAAUUAGGGGAACCUGUCCCAUAAUCGAUAAUCCACGAAAGUCUUACCUAAUUUUGAAACUCAGUUAGUGUACUGCCGUCUCAAGUAUACCUUUAUGAGAGUAUACAAUAAAUUAUAAAUAAAUAGGACGUCAGGUCAAAGUGCUGCUUAUAAUUAGGAUGGAGAUGGGUUACAAACUUAAUAGAGAUAUGGAAAAAUAUAUUAAAUAUAUAUUUAAAAAGUGGACUUAAUAGUAAUUAAAUAAUAAUUUAAUGAAUAUAAUACUAAGAUAUGC
rnacentral:rRNA from 1 species